GAACGAACGCUGGCGGCAUGCCUAACACAUGCAAGUCGAACGAAUGUAGCAAUACAUGAGUGGCGAACGGGUGAGUAACGCGUUGGGAACCUGCCUAGUGGUAGGGAAUAACCGCGGGAAACUGCGGCUAAUACCCUAUGAGCCCUCCGGGGAAAGAUUUAUCGCCAUUAGAGGGCCCGCGUCGGAUUAGCUAGUUGGUGGGGUAACGGCCCACCAAGGCGACCGAUCCGUAGCUGGUCUGAGAGGAUGAUCAGCCACACUGGGACUGAGAUACGGCCCACGACUCCUACGGGAGGCAGCAGUGGGGAAGUA
rnacentral:rRNA from 1 species